UAAUUCAUGUUUAUGUUCGCAUCUAUUGUACUAUGAAAAGCAAAAAGAUGUGAUUAACAAUUAUAGAACAAAACGUUAUCUAGCAUUUAAAAAUGCCCAUACAAUUUUUCCGCUACUUCUCGGAACCAGAAAAGUUACACUCGAGCUUAUAAUUGAACUGACUUCAUUUAAUUACUCUGAAAUCAAGUAAAUCGAAAUGUUCCCAAAUCCUGAAGUGAAACAUUCGCUCUACACAAUACCAUUUUUCAUCUUAACGUAAUUACAACUCGAGUGCAACCUUAUAUUAGUUUAAUUUCGACCAAGCGUGAUGAUCGAUGAACGUAUCGCCAAUACAGCUGCCCACAAAACUAAUGCUGAACUGUAAACAUUAAUGGUGGGUUUAUACGAUCAAUAGCAUAUAACGUUUCUCAUCAAUAUACAAAAUCUUCACUCAGACUAUAGACGGUGCGCUGUGCGGAGAAUCACGUUACUUGCUAAUUGAGGGAGUUUGCUGAUAGGCAUGUAAGGGUCCCGGUCGUAACUGGAAUCAAUUUGUGGCGACAACUACCGUCCUUUGUAGGUAUGUAUUCAAUUUUUUUCAAGUUUGAGUAAACCCCAUUCACGACGAAACGCCAAACAUG